UUUACACAUAUUUAAACCCUUAUUUUUGGUGGCACAAACCUACCUCCAUACUUCAAUGUGUUUGUAUGUCUUACUUUCAGGUGAGUCCUGUGUCACAUGUGGUGGUCGUAGAGCAGAACAGAGAACACCAUGGUGUUCAUGAGACUCUUCCCUUUCCAUAGAGCGGUCACUCCAUAGGUCAAACCGAUGUUUUCAUGUCUCAUAGUCUAACAAACACCGCUGUAGCUCGGCCACCUUCCACCGCAGAUACGGAAGGCCAACACACCCAGUUAUCUCUAUCUUAAACUGAUCCAUUAUUAUUAUAUUACUUAGAUUGAGGCAAGGGUGCCAACAGAGCAUAUUUACUCCAGACAUACAAGUCAGCAGUCAGUCACAUACCUGUGUCAACACAACAUAGUAAGCAAAACCCUCAACACAUAAACUACUACUACAGUCAUCUUUAGUCGUAUUAGAACAACAGUCACUUCACCACACCAAGACUGUUACAGCCAGGACAUAAAUUAAUCCCGCGGAUAGAUUAUAAAUGAUCAAACAGCAGAGGAGAGGAGCAGUAGAGAGAUGGCACAGUCCUCCUCUCCUCCUCAUCCUCCUGUUCUUACCCUAUGGUGCUGUGCUGGAUUCUCUUGUGGGCAGCAUAUGACAGCUGACUAAAAGAGGAGCGAGAGCUGUGAUGGCUGAUGCUCUCAUGCUGCUGCUUCUUGUCACUGUGGUGGUGGUGGUGCUGUUUCACGUGGAACGAUGCAGACAUCCUGACUGGCUGGCUGAUAAGUUCAGACUCCAGGCUCCCCGCCACACGCUAAAACUGAAAAUCUUUCAAUCGUUGAAACCAACAGGACAGGGGGUGCAACUCCAAAAGUAUCCAAAGCAAGUCCUAAACCAGGCAGAACAGCAAUGGGAGUGGAGGGGACAGGACGAGCAGCGGCCACAGAACUAAAAUAAUGCUGCCACUCGGCAGAAUGCUGAAGACACCGUCAGGACCUUUUAAGGGACCACCAUCAGGAGGCACGGUAAAUAUAGCAGAGAGG
rnacentral:lncRNA from 1 species